GAUGAACGCUGGCGGCGUGCUUAACACAUGCCAGUCGAACGAUGGAGCCCAGCUUGCUGGGUGGAUUAGUGGCGAACGGGUGAGUAACACGUGAGUAACCUGCCCUUGACUCUGGGAUAAGCCUGGGAAACUGGGUCUAAUACUGGAUAUGACUUCUCAUCGCAUGGUGGGGGGUGGAAAGAUUUAUUGGUCUUGGAUGGACUCGCGGCCUAUCAGCUUGUUGGUGAGGUAAUGGCUCACCAAGGCGACGACGGGUAGCCGGCCUGAGAGGGUGACCGGCCACACUGGGACUGAGACACGGCCCAGACUCCUACGGGAGGCAGCAGUGGGGAAUAUUGCACAAUGGGCGCAAGCCUGAUGCAGCGACGCCGCGUGAGGGAUGACGGCCUUCGGGUUGUAAACCUCUUUCAGUAGGGAAGAAGCGAGAGUGACGGUACCUGCAGAAGAAGCGCCGGCUAACUACGUG
rnacentral:rRNA from 1 species